CCAAUAGCGUAUAUUAAAGUUGUUGCAGUUAAAAAGCUCGUAGUUGAACUUCGGGGUUUACCCAUUGGUCAGGCUUAAUUGUCUGUACUGGUGAGAUGAAUCUCUACCUUCUGAGGAACUUUCAUGCCAUUUAUUUGGUGUGAUUGGAAAUCAGGACUGUUACUUUGAAAAAAUUAGAGUGUUUAAAGCAGGCUAACGUCUGAAUACAUUAGCAUGGAAUAAUGAAAUAGGACGGCUUGAUUCUAUUUCGUUGGUUUCUAGGAUCACCGUAAUGAUUAAUAGGGAUAGUUGGGGGCAUUAGUAUUCAAUUGUCAGAGGUGAAAUUCUUGGAUUUAUUGAAGACUAACUACUGCGAAAGCAUUUGCCAAGGAUGUUUUCAUUAAUCAAGAACGAAAGUUAGGGGAUCGAAGACGAUCAGAUACCGUCGUAGUCUUAACCAUAAACUAUGCCGACUAGGGAUCGGACGAAGUUAAUUUUAUAAUGACGCGUUCGGCACCUUACG
rnacentral:rRNA from 1 species